UCCGCUCUGUCGUAACCACAGGCUCUAUAGCUCAGUUCCUUUGCUCCUGGCACAGAAGUGCUGUCCUGCUCUCCCCUGCUGGGCACUGAGCUGUCUGCACUGCCCUGGCAUGCGGGGUGCACACUUCACGUCCCCGUCCACCUGGACAUGGAACUGCCUUCGCAGGUUGUGUCUCAGUGUUGUCCUGGGCACAGGGACCUCAUCAGCCUGCACCCCAGCGGUGCUGGGCACCCAGAGUCCUUCAGCAACCAGGGCUCAGGGCUACAGGCAGGGCAAGCGGCCCCCUGAGGUCCCUGCAGCUGUGCCUUCUGCUAGGAUGGAGGCAACGCCCAGAGCUGGUCCUCCUUACACGGACAGGGCAGUGCACGGGACAGCGUGGCCCACUGGGUGCUUGUGAGUGGAGCAUCACAGGUGCACCCACUGAGAAGUUCCGCAUCCUGACUGGCCCUCUUGCCUUGGCUUCUGCCUGCACUAUGAUGGCCCAGCCCUGGGGCAUCUGCUUUCACAGCUAAGCAGGUGGUAUCAUGAGGUCCCCUCUCUGCCUCCUGGGCCUUGGGUCACUUUUCCUCGUCCUCCAGGCUGUUCCUACAGGUGAGUGUCUCCUGCUUCUGCUUCAGCAGCAGCUGAGACUGGGCUGGCUCGGAAAGGGUGGGCCCUGUUCAUCCCCGAGUGUGUCUGGAGUGGGCUCCCAGGUCCCUGUGCCAGGGCUCUGGACUCAGUUCUGAGAGUAUCACUAAUCAUGAUACUUAAGAUGCUUUAUAGUGUAGAAUAGUUUGAUACCACUGUGGGUUUCCUCCAUCACCGGCAACCUGGCCCUCGGUCUCCCACGCCCCCAGGCAUCUUGGCACCAUAGGCUCGUAUGCAUACCUGCCCCCUCUGCCUGUGAGACCUCCCAGCAUUAGGGCUGAGGGGCUGGGGUGCACCCCCUCCUUGCUCUCUGCCUGGGCUCCUGGAGCUGUGGGGGGCUCUCUGGGGUUGGGGGCCCUGGCUUGACUUUGCUUCUCCCUCUCCCUGACCUUCCGCUCUUGGCCUCUGGUCUCCUAGGAGCCCUCCAGUCUUGCUUCUCUGAGUCUCAGCCUGACAGCAACUCUUCUCAGCUCAGGGAACUCCUUGCAAGGCCUCCAUGGCGCCAAGCAGUUACCCUCGCUGGCGUCGCCCAGGCCCCACGUCCUGGCCUGGCUGCUUUCUCCUUCCCCCUUCUCUGUGCCAGGACUGCUGUGGGACGCUCCUGCUCACAGCAGGGUCCAGCAUGAGUGGUGUGUCCCAGCCCACUCUUCGAGGCUGCUGCCUUAUUAGAUGACACACAGGGUCCCAGUGCGCCGCUCUGGAGGGCGGGCAUUCCUGGCCCUGUCACCGUUUCCCUGGCCACCUUCUUCCUGGGGCAGCUCCCUCAGGUUUGUCACCAUAUCACAGAAGCCCCCCCCCAGCCCCCUUGCUUCUCUCACUGCUGAGCUCCCCCACACUGACCCUCCACACUGAAUCCCCCUGUCACCCCACCUUCCCUGUAAAAGCCACACCGGCCAGGAGGACGAGGCGGGGAUGCCCCACAGGGCCCUCCCGCGACGCCACCGUUCCCUCCUCCAGCUUCCUCGAGGCUGCCCCCGGAUGUGCUGGUUUAUAGAGGGGCUGCAGGGUUGGGCCACAUGGGGCCUUGCUGCAGACAGCUUCCAGAGACACAGCUCCCAGUGAGGCUGCCAGUCCCCAGAGAAAUGGAGACCGGCGAGCGGUCCGUCCUGGGAGUCAGAACAGCGAAGCAAGCGGGCUCUCCAAACCCGUGCCAGUCUUCAAGUGAUCUUUCACGUGAGCGAGUGAGUGUGUGGGGGUACAGCUGGCAUCUCUGAGGACCUGGAAGAAGGAGAAGGAGCAGAUCUUUGCUCUCGGGGCCCAGAGGUGGCUGGGUGUCACCCGCGUGCUUGGAGGUGCUGAUUCAGGGCAGUUCAGAUGCCCAGUGCCCUGGCUGGAAGGGGCCUGCCUCGGGGUCUGCCAGCACAGUUUUGAAGGGGUCGGAGGAGGUCAGUGCGCCUCUCGGACCUCACUCAGGAGGUCUGCACCGGUCCCACAAAAGGACUUCAGGCCUCUGCCACGCCUAUUCCUGGGUUCCUGGAAGGGCCUCUCUGGUACUGAGGGCAGAGUCGGCCAGGGUGUCCUUGACCCGGGCCUGUGUCCCUUUCAGGAGGGGCCUCCGAGGAGCAGCUGGGCCUCUCCCUCCGCCUCACCCGCUGUAAUGGGAUCCUACUGCUUCAGCCUUGGGGCCCGCGGGGCACCCUGCGCCUGACACCUGGGGCUUUGCAGCGGCUGAGGCAGUCUACAGGGAGCUAGGCUGCGGGUCCGCCUUUGGCGCUCCCGGGAAGGUCCUGAGCCCUGAAAUCAGGACUCAGCACUGGCUGCACAGCCUGACCUGCCAGGGCAACGAGCUGUCCAUCCAUGAGUGCGCCCUGGGGGCCUGGGGCCCACAGCCCUGGCAGCACGACUGGGUGCCGGCGGUGAUGUGCUCAGGCGAGGGCUGGUCCCCUCUGACCCUGCUGGGGCCCACGCUGCGCCUGGCACAUGAGGAGAACCCGCAAUCCCUGGGGUUGUGGGGGGCUGUGGGCAAAGAUGAGACCCCAGCGCUGGGGCAGAAGUGUGAGCAGUGGUCGUGGAAGCGCACACAGGGGCUGUGGCCUGUGGCCCGGGUCUCAGACCCUCCCCAGGAGGGUUUUCAAGCUGGGCUGAUCUGGGCCGAAGAGCAGCUGUGUGACCCGCGGGCUGAUGACACCAUGAAGGGCGAUGAAAUUGCUGCUCUGGGGGUGCUGCGUCUGGGGAAAGGGGUGCAAAAGAGCCCAGGCUGGGUGCAGGGGAGUCCUGCCCACCUGGGGCAGCAGGGCUUAGAGGCGCCCAAAGGUUCAGCAGGAAACCCAGAGAAAAAAGAGGAGUCACGGCGCCUCAUGGGCUUGUCAGCCGUUCGUGCCAAGCUUGGGAACUCUCUGGGGUGCACAGCCUGGGUCUUGGUCGGGUGGUGGUUGCGUGGAAACGCAUUUGUCUACACUCAUCCAGCUGCAGGCUCAGCAUGUGUGUGAACUGUUGCUCGCUGGGGGACUGAGGGUGGCCAGGGAGGCAGGCAGCCCGGGAAUCUCAGGGGCACCGCAGGUGACAAUGCGAGCAAGGGGCCUAACCUGGCUGUGGGGCCGGACACCGAGGGAGCGGAGACUCUCAGAAGAGCACGAUCACAAAGAGGAAACGGGUCGGGAGCUGGAGGAGGCCCCUGGUGAAAGAGGUGCCUUGGCUUGGAUGGUGGCCCUUUGACUGCGCCCAGGCUGAGGUGGGACCAAAGGCCUGGAAGAGGCGGGACUCGGUGGGAGGGUUGUUGUGUUGGGGAGGUCACUGUCCUUUCUCCUUCCGGAGGGAUGUUCGGUGUUGCGGUCCAUGUGCACGUUGGAAAAAACUUCCAUUCUCAGAGCGACGUGAGAAGAAAGAUAAGCUGAUUGAGCUGAGCAGCACUGCUAGCCAGUGGGACCACCUCUGGUCAUCAGGGAGAGCAGGUGCGUGGGGCGUCUGUUUUCCUAGCCCAGGGACAAAGGAGCGAGGAGAGGUCUUAGGAUACACCUGCUGGUUGGUUGGGGGCAUAUGUGUCCCCAUAGGGCAGGGUGAGGAGGGGGCUGCAUACCUUUCCUAGUGGGGGCGGGAAGGAGCAGCCAGGUUGUGUGAGAACUUGAGACCUGGGCAGCCGUUACAAUGAGACCAUUACAAUAAGGGCAAUUCUUACCUUGGCCAGAGGCUUCUUGAGUUGCCUCUCCUUGGAGAGGUCCUGUCCCACAUUCAGGUGGGAUGUUCAGGGUAUGUGGGGAGGAGACAGGGUUGAAAGGCUAGUGCAGGAUUUGGGAGGCAGGGGCAGGACUCCCCGGGAGGUCCUGGCUGCAGGGGGAAAAGCCAGGCAGGUGGACGGGGAACACGGCUGGGAAGAAUCUGUGAGGACACGGAGGGGGCCACGCAGCCAGCAGCCCCCAGGAGGGGAACUGGAGAGGUUUAUCUGCAAGGCCAGUGAAAUGGAUGGGUUCUUUUUUGCAGGGGGUCUGGACGUAGUGAUAAAACCGGUGAGGGGACGGAGCCCCUGUGCGGGGUCCCGGGGCCGAGCAUGUUCCAGCCAGACAUUGACAUACUGUGAGCAGCCAUCAGCCGACCCCACCUUCACUGUCCUCUGCAGGGAGCUGGGGUGUGGCUCAGCCCCGUACCAGAGACAGAGGUUCUAGAAAGGGGCAGCAGUGUGUUGUGUGUGAGGGCUCUGAGCCAGCUGUGCUGAACUGCAAGGCCAGCCGGGCGAUCUUUAAGCCUGUGUCCUGGCUGGUGAGGUCGUCUGCUCGGGUAAGAAGGUUGCUCUCCUGGCCCAGUCCCUUGGAAGCCUACUCCCUGAUCAUUCCAGAACCCUGUCGACUAAAAAAAUAUGCACACCCUGAAAGUUGAGAAUUAGAUUUUAUUUGGUGGACAAAACUGAGGACUUAAGCCCAGGAGGCAGCCUCUCAAGUGACCCCGAGAAAAGUGCUCUGAGUUGGCGAGGGAGGCGCCGGGAUCUGCAGGAGUUUUGCAACAAAGGGCAGGUGGGGGGAGCAAAGAGUGUUGCUAAUAACAGAAAACGAGGCAUCUCAAGGGCCUGGUGCUUUUCUGAGCCCGGGAGACGUAAGGUCUGGGCUCACAGCAAUCACUCCUGUGGUGCACACCUCAGCUCUCGGGGCCAGCAUCUUGUGGUUUCACAGCCUGAGCUCCCUCGGGGCUCACCCGGCUCACCCUGGGGAGAGGCUGCAGUCUUGUGGCUGCUAGAUGGCAGGUGGUCUUCAUUUCCUUCCCGUGUGCCCUCAGGGCUCCCUGCUCACCCUUGGGGGUGGCUGCAGUAGCUGAUGCCUGUGACAUCUUUUGUUUGCUGAUAGGACAGGCACCAUUUUUAUUUCUCAGCACUAUCGCUUUGGAUCUGGUGUCCUGGGACUAACGCCGGGUGGCCUGGAGAAGCUCAUAACUUCUUUGGUUCUAGGCCUGUGUGUCCCCUUGGGGGUCAGCUCAGUGACCUCUAGAUUGGUGCCAACAUUUCAAGAUGUUAGGAAUAUUUCCUGGGGUUUAAGGGAGGGAGAGAGUGAUUUCUCCAGAAACGCCACAUUCCUCUUGUUUUCAGCAUCUCAGCUUCAGAAGCAGGCUUUUUGAGAAUUUUUCCGACAGAGGAGCGCAUUCCUCCAAGGGCUCCUGCAAGUGGUCUCGUGCGUGUUACACUGGCAGACUUCAAGGCACCGCCAUCAAGGAGUCCAUGCGGAUGGAGUUUGUGGAACAGGGUUGGUUUUACAGUGUUCAAAGGAAAAGCUGGAUGGUUGCAGUUGUAGCUUGGGAGGUGGCCCUGGGAGGUGGAAGGAGGCUGACCUGUGCCCGACCUCAGAGCCACUGCCCGGGGCCUGCUUGUAAGUGAUUGAUACUCAGCCCUAAGGACCUCAAUAAAUAAAGGGGCAGGAGGGACCAGAAACAUCUUGGCUCACCUACUGGGUGUGGGAGUGUGGGGGUGCCGUGGGUGAGCCUGUCUCCAUGUGACUGGGUCUGUGCCUCUAGCUCCUCGCCGUGGGUGCUGAAGGAGCAGCAGGAGCAGCGGGCGCAGGACAGACAGUGGGCCCUUUUUUCCACCCUUCUCUGCGGGAGGUGCAAACAGUGGAUGGCUCAGUGGCCCUCAGGGCUGUUUCCUGGGGUCUCCACUGGGCUCCCCCUGGUGGGGGGGAGUCCCUCAGAAGCUUUAGGGGAUUUUUCAGGGCUUCCCUACAUGAGAGACAUGCAGCCAGCUUUGAGCAUCUCUAAGCUAACUUCAGCCAUAGUUGGGACUUACUGGAAACACGUGGGACAGUCUGAGCCUUCAGUCAACUGCCUGAGCCUACAGAAGAGCUUGGGCCUCUCUGAGUCUGGACUGGGGAGGAAGCUGGCAGCUCAGGCACCAUGUCCUGGGGGGCCCUGUGGUUUUCUCCUCUCUACCUUCCCACCUUGGGAUCAUGGAACCUGCUGCCAUGCAGUGCAUCUGGGCAGGCUGGUGUGGUGGGUGGGACAGGACCAUGGCCUUUCAAGGAGGGAUGGGCACCACCUGACCAGCUCUGUGAACACUCAUGGACCCACUGCUCUGGCGUGUGGGGUUCCCAGCACUUGCAGGAAGUUGUGGGAGGGUCGGGUGCAGGAAGAGACUGUGGUGCGUGGCGGGGGGUCCCUGACGGGAAGUAGAGUUACCCAUGAAGCUUCCGAGGGAGGGAAGAAGGAGGACUGUGUGCUCAGGCUGCCCUGUCUGUCUGCCCCCAGGACACACACAGGCCUGGCUGGCGGGGGGUGGGCACCCCUGCGCUGGGCGCCUGGAGGUGAGACAUGGCCUGACCUGGGCACCGUCUGUGACGCCGACCUGGACCUUGCCACGGCCCACACGGUGCGCCGGGAGCUGCAGUGCGGCGUGGCCGUGUCCAUGCUCCGGGAAGCCCAAAUCUUUGGACCCUCUGAAGGAGGAAGGGGUUUUAGUCCUACUGUCUGGGUUUAGGCUGAUGCUCGCACAGGCAAGUAGCAGACUGCACAUCGGUCACGCCAUCCCUCCCGAGACCUGACCUGGAUUCCAUCACUUCCCUGAACCCAGCUUCCCGACCUGUCCGACCCCCGUGGGCUCCCAGCUGCCCCUGCAGACGCAAAGGUGCAGAGCUGCUGCCCCUGGGCACGGCUGGACUCCAGCUCCCACUUUUGGUCACUUGGAAGCAGGGGCGGAGCUGUGGGGGUGGGGAAAGUCAGCAGGACGCUGGAGAAGAUAGACCCUGUGAGCCCUGGGUGCCCGGGGCCGGGGGUUCCCAGCUCCUGGGCUGCCAAGGGCCUGGGUCAUCGGGCCUAGAACUGGGGAUUCGAGGACACUGUCAGCUGCAAACUCCCGCUGUGGUCACAGGCAGCCCUGGCAGAGCAGACGGCCCCCCACCUGUACUGAGGCUGGUUUUCUCUAGGGAGAGGGUCUCUGGGGAGGGUCUCUCUCCAUGGGCCCCUUUGCAGGAUCCCAGGGACACAGGGAUGUCUCCUCUGAAGUUGUCUAGGAGCAGAUCCUCGAAGACCCAGGGGACUCGAGCGGUGCAAACCUGCAGCCUGGAGACUCUCUGCCCAGGGAGUGUGAGGGCUCUUACACCCCUGCCCUCACUCUGACACCAGGACAGGGCGGCAGAGCCACCACGGCCUUCCCGGAGCCCCUGCGGGAAUGUUUCCUGCCGGAGUCCAGCUCCAGCAGCCAGGGUGUCCCUGCGGGGAUGGACAGUGUCGGGGAUGCACACGGAGACCGCCUCUUUGUCCCUUCUCUCAGGGCGCUGGACUGCUCAAAUUUCAUUAGCAUAGGUAGCAGUUUAUAUGGAUAGCUUAAUUGUAACUUACAUUACAGUGCUUAGGUCAUAUUCUUAAAGGUUAAACUUUUAGAUUACAUGGUACAGUAGAUAUACAUUGUAUUCUAAGGAUUUUAAUGAAAACCAACGGAUACAAUACAUCAUGUAACACUACAAUGGGUACAAAACAUCAUGUGGAAAAAACGUUAUAUGAAAAUAAGGCGAUUCGGUAAAAAACGUUUUGUGGUUACUUUUAGCAAGCACCACCUGUUAUUGUUUUAAGCUAAUCUUUAACAACUAGAAAGGUCACAAGCAUAAGAAUUUGACAUUUACAAAAACUCAUGUUUUGGAUUAAAGCUUGGGGUGCUAACUUCAAAGCGUUAUGGUCAGGGGACAGUAUGAGAAAAUAUUUUUUUAUAUCAAAGCAACUUAGUUUCAUAAAACUUAAAAGCUUAUUACAAAAUUCAUUAAAAGCAAGAUUAUUAUGUUUUUCCAUGUAUGUCUAACCUAUUCGUAAGCUAUGGUACAUAGCACAAUUGCCUAACUCUACAACCCAUUCUUACUUGUAACAAACUAACGAAUACUUUGUUUUUCCCUACAUUGGAUCUGAAUAGGGGGAAUUCAACCAAAGUGAAGCUCUUAUUAUUUUAUUACUGUUCCAAUUUUUUGUUGUUCCAAUUUUAUUGAGUCACAAAACAAUAUAGGAGAAUAACAAAAAAUAACAAACAAAUAACAGGAAAGAUUGAAUAAUAAGUAAAUAACAAGAAAGACUGAUUUUUCCCAGAAGUGGUUUUAUUCUUGUACUGUUGUGCAAAGCCUUCAUCUUGUUAUUGUUGAUGUUGUUGUCGGGUUAGCAGGUGAGCCUCAUUAUUUUUAGAACUUGCCCUCGGAACUGUGCUGCCAGGUAAGCCCUUUCCCCUAUUUCUAAACCUGCCCUCGGAACUGUGCCAGCGGGUAGGCUUUGUUCCUCGGUGAGGAACCCUGCCUUUGGAACCGUGCUGUCAGGCUAGUUCCCUUCCUCGGCCUCCUGCAUGUCCUCGGCUCCCCGCAGUUUCUGAGGAGAGUGGCGUCGGUCCCCGAUGGAGCACAUAGGCGGAGCUUGUCAUUAACGGAUGGUGCGCGAGCGCCAGGCAGGUACUGGCAGCCUGGUCAUCUGGAAAGGGUGCAGGGAGGGCAGGGUCUCGGGGGUCUCCGGACAAUCACUGGACAAACCAGAAAAGGGUCAGAUAAGGACGCAUGCUGGGCAGAGUUAGCACGGAGAUGUGACACUUGGCACAGGUCCUCACUGGUGGGUGGGGACCAGGUGUGUGGAGUGAGGAGCCAGGAAGAGGAGCCUGGUGCUCCCAGGAGGACCAGACGCCUGAGGGGCAUGGUUGGGAGGGCACACAAAUAUCUGCACGCCUCCCAGGGCCUCUACAACCUGGCUAGCUCCUGGCUCUCUCAGCGGCCCUGGGCUCCCCGAGGCCCCUUGCCCUGAGGAGACUCAGCCACGCCACCCAGAGCAUGUGAGGGGUUAAAGGAAGUACCUACAUACCAACAAGCCUCGACCCCAUCCCUGGGACCCCACACUCUGCUCCAGUGGUUGGGUGGGGGGGCAGAGCAUACCUGAGCCCACCCAGGGGAGUUAAGCACCUGAGCCAAAGCUCCCUGGGAAGGGCCAGAGGGGCCAAAGCUCAAAGCUGGUCUCGUCCACCUCUGCACUGCCCACUCUGCCACGUGAUGCCUUGGGGUUGGGAGCCAGGAGGACAGGCGGGCAGCCAUGCAAGCCAGGCAGCCCUCCGGGUGGGGGUGUCCCUCCCGCCCCCGCUUCUCCGUCCGUCUCUCCUUCCAGGGACACCAAUGAACUCCUGCCGGUUGUGUCUUUCUGACAAACCCAACAGCCUCCCUAGAGCGGGUAUCUAGGAUGAUCUCUCUCUCACGGAUGGUUGAGUCGCCCCUAGGACCUGGUGGCCUGCUCACAAAGUCUCCUUCCCAGCCUCAGGUGACCUGCCCAUCCUGCUGCAGGGAACUGGCCCUUCAGCAGUGGGAGGGGAGCCCCCCUUGCCAGUGUCCUGGUCCUCAGGCUCCAGCUACGAUGAAGUGGGUGCCAUGGCGAGCACCAGGCUGUGAGCCCACUGCGCCUUCUGUGUUGGUGCUUCUCCUUGGGGUGCUUCCAGGUGAACCUUGGUUUUCUUAUUUUGGACAGAUUGCCUUCAGAAGCUUCCUUAUCACGCCCCGCGCCUGUGUUAUUAAUAAAGUCCACCCAUUUAAUGAAGUUAGAGCGUCAGUCCCACCUCGUGUUAGAGGAGACAAGAUCAGUAAACCACAGGAAGCCAGGACCAUGCAGGGUCUCGGCCGUGCCUCUGCCUGCUCCCAAGCAGCUCCUGAGCUGUGGGGACGUCCGACCCCUGGGCCUGGGCCACGUGCUGCUGCACACCCACCUGCACAGCUCUGAUUGCCCGCCGCCUUCCUGUCUGCCUGGCACACGGUGGGGACCUUGGUCCCCCAGCACUUCCCUGGCACUAGCCCUUUGGGACCCCGUGUGGGCCGCGGACCAGCCAGGCUUCAUUGUACCCAUUUUUUCCCCUUCCCAGUGCCCUCUAGACUAACAGUUUGUUUGGGUAUGUUUUUCACAGGCACAGCUUGUCCUAAUUCGCUGUGGUUUCCUCUGAACACGGCAGUGAGUUUCCUCAGACAUCCCUCUGGGGUCUUCCCUGGUUUCUUGGAAGAAUCCUUCCUUCUCAGCAUUAGUGAUGCUUCUCCUGGCUUCAUCCCACACCCCGAGGCCUCUGAUGGCAGCUCUUAAGAGCCCCGGCUCCUCUGAUGGACCCAAACACUUGGCAUGAGGUUAAGUUAUGACAAACUGCCCUCCUUCCUGGUUUUUUUUGAAUUUUCAUCUUGUGGAGUGUACAAGUCGUAACUGCACAGCCCCUGGGUCUUGAUGAUGCGUAAAGCGCUAUCAGGCUGUAGAACAGCGUCCUCACCUCUGGAAGUUCCCAUCAUGCUUCUUCCCCUGACAGGACCACAGUUCUGAUUUUUUCUGCCAUAAAAUAGUCUUGCACAUUCUAGACCCAUUCACAUAGAACAGAAUCAUACAAUGCACACUCUUUUGUGUAAGGCUUCUUUCACUUGGCACAAUGUUUCUGAGGUCCACCCAUGCUGUUUUGCGUAUCUAAAGUCUGUUUCUUUAGAGUGCUGGGCAAUCUGCUGUUAUGUGACUCUACCACAAUUUGUUUUUUCCAUUUUCUUACCCCUGAAAAACUGGGCUAAUUUUAUAUUUUGGCUGAAUGAAUAAAGUGGCUCCAGAAUUCUUGUAC